AAAAGAGGGUGCUGAAAGGCGCGUCACAUCAUGCUCCAAACUUUUCAGGGUGGCUGCAGCCUUUGGUGUAAUUUAUUUUACCCUGAGGGGCUUGGACAGACCUACAGUUAAACACUGUCCCCCAGCAAGUGAAUAAAUGCUAUUCAUUGUCAGGAAAAGAAGCUGUUCAGCGUGGCUGGCUGAAGAAUAGGAUACUUAGAGGAGAGAGUGCCUGGAGUAACAUGUGCAAGUUGAGUAGAGAGUAUAAGAGUCUGUGUGCUCUGUUGAGGAUUUUAAACCUUACACUAUCAGCAAUGAGAGUCAACCAAAUUUUUAGUAGAAAAGAUGUGUGUUCAAUUUUAUAUUUUAAACAGCAACUCCAGGAGAAGAAGGGUGUGAGAUUGGAAGCUAUAGACAUAGUUGCUGGCUGUUGAUCAGAUUAGUUUAAAAAUGAAGAAGACCUGAGCUAAUAUGAAGACGAAAAUUGAGCGAGCUGAAGAAAAUAGUUUCAGCCUUCCCGUUCCCCAUCCUUAGCUGUCCUGCGGCACACACGUGGAGUAAGCAGAGAGGGGCGUGGUCCAGCCUACUGCAUCAAUGAUGGUGCUGCCCUGUGUCUGUUCAGCAUUGAAAACUAUGUUCAUGUGAAAAUCAAUGGUCUUCACUGACCUCCGGAUGUUAGUCCCUGU
rnacentral:lncRNA from 1 species